rnacentral:rRNA from 1 species
AGUGAACGCUGGCGGUAGGCCUAACACAUGCAAGUCGAACGGCAGCACAGUAAGAGCUUGCUCUUACGGGUGGCGAGUGGCGGACGGGUGAGGAAUACAUCGGAAUCUACUUUUUCGUGGGGGAUAACGUAGGGAAACUUACGCUAAUACCUCAUACGACCUACGGGUGAAAGCAGGGGAUCUUCGUACCUUGCGCGAUUGAAUGAGCCGAUGUCGGAUUAGCUAGUUGGCGGGGUAAAGGCCCACCAAGGCUACGAUCCGUAGCUGGUCUGAGAGGAUGAUCAGCCACACUGGAACUGAGACACGGUCCAGACUCCUACGGGAGGCAGCAGUGGGGAAUAUUGGACAAUGGGCGCAAGCCUGAUCCAGCCAUACCGCGUGGGUGAAGAAGGCCUUCGGGUUGUAAAGCCCUUUUGUUGGGAAAGAAAAGCAGCAGGUUAAUACCCCGCUGUUCUGACGGUACCCAAAGAAUAAGCACCGGCUAACUUCGUG